UUCGGUCCUGAAUAUAGUUGACGUCACCGGCGCAUGCGUAGCACACCGGACGGCACUGCAGAAGCAGGCGAGUUCGCGAGUGUAUCGAUUUUACGAUCGUGUCUCUCGCCGCUAGUGCGUCCGUUUCCUUUAGUUUUUAGUGGUCGUGCUCAUAGUACAUGGAUAAAAUCGUGAAUGGGAUUAGUCGCUAGUCUCAUCACUCCGUACAUUUGCUGACUCGCAACACUUUGUCACCCUCGCCAUGACUAAGGAUAGAUUAGCAGCUCUUGUUGCGGCCCAGUCGGACGAUGAUGACGUGGCGGACGAUGUGUCCGUCAAUGUUGGCGGGCCCGAUGAUUUUAUGACCGAGUUUUUCGCGGAAGUGGAGGAAAUCCGCGAAAUGAUAGACAGGAUCCAAACGAACGUAGAGGAUGUGAAGAAAAAGCAUAGUGCCAUUUUGUCGGCACCUCAAACCGACGAAAAGGUUAAAAUGGAAUUGGAAGACCUGAUGUCCGAUAUCAAGAAAACGGCGAAUAAAGUGAGGGCUAAAUUGAAGGUUAUAGAGCAAAAUAUCGAGCAGGAGGAGCACACGAACAAAUCAUCGGCGGAUCUUAGGAUACGGAAGACACAGCACUCGACUCUUUCGAGGAAGUUCGUCGAGGUGAUGACGGAGUACAAUCGGACCCAGACCGAUUACAGAGAGCGGUGUAAGGGAAGGAUACAACGACAGUUGGAAAUCACCGGUAGGACGACCACUAACGAGGAGCUGGAGGAAAUGCUGGAACAGGGGAAUCCGGCUGUGUUCACGCAGGGGAUUAUCAUGGAAACGCAACAAGCGAAACAGACUCUCGCCGAUAUCGAGGCACGCCACGCAGACAUCAUUAAACUAGAAAACUCCAUCAGGGAGCUUCACGAUAUGUUCAUGGAUAUGGCGAUGUUGGUGGAAAGUCAGGGUGAGUNNGUGGACCGCAUCGAGUACCUCGUCGAUCAAACCGGCGACCACGUUGUCCAGGCCCGGGGAGAGCUGAUCAAGGCCGAGGAGUAUCGGAGCAAAGCUCGUAAGAAAAUGAUCUUCAUCAUAAUCUGCGUCUUGAUAUUGGCCGUGAUAUUGAUCUCCAUAAUAAUAGCAUGCGUUCCUAGAAGCUAAAGGUUUGAAGAAGCGCGCGCUUAGGGGUGGUGGGAAGGGGCAUGCGAUGAUAAUGGGGGAAUGGACGCGAUGUUCGAUCGAAGGGAGGAAAAAAAAGAAAAGAAAACUAAAGAAAAAAAAAAGGAAGAGAAUGGAUCUCGAGAUCGAUCGAAAAAUCAAGGACGAUGAUAGAAACGCGCGGGGGAACGAUCGAAGAGAAAUUGAUGUUCAUCGUAAUUUGCCUGACAAUAGCGUUCAUCAUUCUCAUAAUCAUUCUGGUAUACGCAUUAAAAAGAUAGAUCGGCGAUAUUCGAGGAUUUCAGGUGAAAAGCGGUGAAAAGGAUGAACGCUGUGAAAAGUGUGGAUGGACCACGAGGGGAAAAAAGUAAAACUAGUGGAACUUUCUGGAGACGCGAGCUGCGGCGUUUUCAUUGCUCCUCCUCCUCGUCCUCCUUUCCCUUCUCCCAUCUCCACUCGCUUCCCUCCAAGAGCGAAAACGCCGAGGCUGCGUUUCGUAUUUUCAGUGAAAUACUCUCGCGAAUCCGUUUCUCCGGAAAUCGCGUGCAUUCGCCGUCCGUUCGCCGUUUCGCUUCUUUUUCUUGUUCGAAAAAACGACCGAAAGAUAAAGACGAAAUCGCGAAUCGAAAGAGGAUAGAUAGAUAGAUAGCGUGGUGGUCGGUAUCCUCCCCCCCCGAAUUCGAAUUUCCCCCAAUCGCGCGCGACGCGAUAUCGCGAGCAAAUUGUAAAUAAUAAAUAAUAGGUAAAAACGUGUUUGUAUGAUGAAAAAAGUAUAUAUA